CUCAGGUUCUGGAUGAUGGCUAUGGGCAGGAAAGAUCUCUUGUAGCGGUCUGUUUUACAACCAAUUUGAAGAAGCCUUUGACUGAAGAGACUCCAAUGUCAUGAAAAGGAUGUUCAGGAUAGUCCAUAAUUUUCUUGAUUUUAUGCAAAAUCCUUCUUUGCAUCAUCGACUCCAGAGGUUCCACAGUCAUCCCCAGAACAGAGCCAGCCUUCUUUUUCAGGUUGUUGAGCCUUUUUAGGUUCCUGGCUCUGAUACUGCAGAUGAUGGCAGAGGUGAUGACACUCUCAACAACAGACUUAUAGAAGACAUGAAACAUCUUGCUUGAAACCUUAAAGAACCUACGCUUCCUCAAAAAAUACAGUCUGUUCUGUCCUUUCUUGUAGAUGGCUUCACUGUUGCAUCUCCAGUCUGUUGUCCAGAUGAACACCAAGGGAGGAGGAGAGACGACCCCAAGGAAACCCCCCGACAGCCACAAUGCUGAAGCCCCCAGGAGCCACGGGGACAAGCCCGUGGACUCCGUCAGCAGCCAGCUAUGGCGGAGAGGUCCGGCCAUGGGCCCUAGGGACCCGAGGCCCCAGGGGUGCCCCGCCCCCCGACAGGGGCUCUGACCGAGCCAGGCCCUGAGAAGCAGCUGCCAGGAGCGAGCCAGUACCCAUCCAGGCACCAAGGCCUGGACACACAGUACCACCAAUGCACCACCAGCCCAAGAGGUCCACCAGCGGAGUUCCUCUGCCUGCCUGGACCUGCUUUCUCACCUGCCACCUUGGAUUGCCCAGCUUCAACCUCCUGCUUGUCUGACACUGAUUACAAGGAUUGCCCUCAGCGCUGACUAAUUUUACAGAUCUGACCACUACCUGCCUGACCAAGAGAACCACUAAAUAAAAUCAACCUAACCUUGCCAACUG